GGCGGCAGGCCUAAUACAUGCAAGUCGAACGGAACCUUCGGGUUCAGUGGCGGACGGGUGAGUAACACGUGGGAACGUGCCUUUAGGUUCGGGACAACCCAGGGAAACUUGGGCUAAUACCGAAUAAGCCCUUCGGGGGAAAGAUUUAUCGCCUUUAGAGCGGCCCGCGUCUGAUUAGCUUGUUGGUGGGGUAAUGGCCUACCAAGGCUACGAUCAGUAGCUGGUCUGAGAGGAUGAUCAGCCACACUGGGACUGAGACACGGCCCAGACUCCUACGGGAGGCAGCAGUAGGGAAUCUUGCGCAAUGGGCGAAAGCCUGACGCAGCCAUGCCGCGUGGAUGAUGAAGGUCUUAGGAUUGUAAAAUCCUUUCAGCGGGGACGAUAAUGACGGUACCCGCAGAAGAAGCCCCGGCUAACUUCGUGCCAGCAGCCGCGGUAAUACNAAGGGGGCUAGCGUUGCUCGGAUUUACUGGGCGUAAAGGGCGCGUAGGCGGGACAGUUUA
rnacentral:rRNA from 1 species